ACCGAAGCUGCGGCAGCGACACUAUGUGUUGUUGGGUAGGGGAGCGUUCUGUAAGCCUGCGAAGGUGUGCUGUGAGGCAUGCUGGAGGUAUCAGAAGUGCGAAUGCUGACAUAAGUAACGAUAAAGCGGGUGAAAAGCCCGCUCGCCGGAAGACCAAGGGUUCCUGUCCAACGUUAAUCGGGGCAGGGUGAGUCGACCCCUAAGGCGAGGCCGAAAGGCGUAGUCGAUGGGAAACAGGUUAAUAUUCCUGUACUUGGUGUUACUGCGAAGGGGGGACGGAGAAGGCUAUGUUAGCCGGGCGACGGUUGUCCCGGUUUAAGCAUGUAGGCUGAUUGUCCAGGCAAAUCCGGAUAAUCAAGGCUGAGGUGUGAUGACGAGGCACUACGGUGCUGAAGUAACAAAUGCCCUGCUUCCAGGAAAAGCCUCUAAGCAUCAGGUAACAUUAAAUCGUACCCCAAACCGACACAGGUGGUCAGGUAGAGAAUACCAAGGCGCUUGAGAGAACUCGGGUGAAGGAACUAGGCAAAAUGGUGCCGUAACUUCGGGAGAAGGCACGCUGGUGUGUAGGUGAAGUCCCUGCGGAUGGAGCUGAGACCAGUCGAAGAUACCAGCUGGCUGCAACUGUUUAUUAAAAACACAGCACUGUGCAAACACGAAAGUGGACGUAUACGGUGUGACGCCUGCCCGGUGCCGGAAGGUUAAUUGAUGGGGUUAUCCGUAAGGAGAAGCUCUUGAUCGAAGCCCCGGUAAACGGCGGCCGUAACUAUAACGGUCCUAAGGUAGCGAAAUUCCUUGUCGGGUAAGUUCCGACCUGCACGAAUGGCGUAAUGAUGGCCAGGCUGUCUCCACCCGAGACUCAGUGAAAUUGAACUCGCUGUGAAGAUGCAGUGUACCCGCGGCAAGACGGAAAGACCCCGUGAACCUUUACUAUAGCUUGACACUGAACAUUGAGCCUUGAUGUGUAGGAUAGGUGGGAGGCUUUGAAGCGUGGACGCCAGUCUGCGUGGAGCCAACCUUGAAAUACCACCCUUUAAUGUUUGAUGUUCUAACGUUGGCCCCUGACCGGGGUUGCGGACAGUGUCUGGUGGGUAGUUUGACUGGGGCGGUCUCCUCCCAAAGCGUAACGGAGGAGCACGAAGGUUAGCUAAUCCUGGUCGGACAUCAGGAGGUUAGUGCAAUGGCAUAAGCUAGCUUGACUGCGAGCGUGACGGCGCGAGCAGGUGCGAAAGCAGGUCAUAGUGAUCCGGUGGUUCUGAAUGGAAGGGCCAUCGCUCAACGGAUAAAAGGUACUCCGGGGAUAACAGGCUGAUACCGCCCAAGAGUUCAUAUCGACGGCGGUGUUUGGCACCUCGAUGUCGGCUCAUCACAUCCUGGGGCUGAAGUAGGUCCCAAGGGUAUGGCUGUUCGCCAUUUAAAGUGGUACGCGAGCUGGGUUUAGAACGUCGUGAGACAGUUCGGUCCCUAUCUGCCGUGGGCGCUGGAGAAUUGAGGGGGGCUGCUCCUAGUACGAGAGGACCGGAGUGGACGCAUCACUGGUGUUCGGGUUGUCAUGCCAAUGGCACUGCCCGGUAGCUAAAUGCGGAAGAGAUAAGUGCUGAAAGCAUCUAAGCACGAAACUUGCCCCGAGAUGAGUUCUCCCUGAGACUUUAAGUCUCCUGAAGGAACGUUGAAGACGACGACGUUGAUAGGCCGGGUGUGUAAGCGCAGCGAUGCGUUGAGCUAACCGGUACUAAUGAACCGUGAGGCUUAACCUU
rnacentral:rRNA from 1 species